GAUGAAUGCUGGCGGCGUGCCUAAUACAUGCAAGUCGAGCGAACCACUUCGGUGGUGAGCGGCGAACGGGUGAGUAACACGUAGGUGAUCUGCCCAUCAGACGGGGACAACGAUUGGAAACGAUCGCUAAUACCGGAUAGGACGAAAGUUUAAAGGUGCUUCUGGCACCGCUGAUGGGUGAGCCUGCGGCGCAUUAGCUAGUUGGUAGGGUAAAGGCCUACCAAGGCGACGAUGCGUAGCCGACCUGAGAGGGUGAACGGCCACACUGGGACUGAGACACGGCCCAGACUCCUACGGGAGGCAGCAGUAGGGAAUCUUCGGCAAUGGGCGAAAGCCUGACCGAGCAACGCCGCGUGAAUGAUGAAGGCCUUCGGGUUGUAAAAUUCUGUUAUAAGGGAAGAACGACUUUAGUAGGAAAUGGCUAGAGUGUGACGGUACCUUAUGAGAAAGCCACGGCUAACUACGUGCCAGCCGCCGCCGUAA
rnacentral:rRNA from 1 species